rnacentral:rRNA from 1 species
UAAGCGUGAAGCCCCCCCUCAAGAUGAGAUUUCCCAUUUCUUUAAGAAAGUAAGAUCCCUGAAAGAUGAUCAGGUAGAUAGGUUUGGAGUGGAAGUAUGGCGACAUAUGGAGCGGACAAAUACUAAUCGAUCGAGGACUUAACCU